AUGCCCUUCUCCGGCGACCUGACAGAGCGCAACCGCCAGUUGCUGCUAGAGCAGCAGAAUUCCUCCGCCAUAAAGAUCCAAAGAUGCUUUAGAGGGAAGAAGGCUAUACAAUCAAAACAUUCUGAAGCUCGAGAAAACUUCUGCUCUACUUUUGAAGGUUUCUUCCAGAAUUUAGAUAGGAAAAGCUAUGUUGCUUCGGAUUUUUUGGGUCAAUUCCUGUUAUUUUUUGAUGCAAAGGAGGACAAAGAUAUUGAUAUACUAUGUCAAGUCUGUGACCUGCUUCUACAAUAUGCCAAACGUGAUGGAGAUGUUGCAAGUCUCUUUGCUGGUGCAGAUUACUCAGUGGAACAUGUUGUAGUUCACAACGUAAAAAAGCUUGCACUCAUCUGUGUGCGUGUUGUUCAUCAAAAAAGGUUAGUUCAAUUAUUGAAAGCUGUUGUUUAG
rnacentral:rRNA from 1 species